rnacentral:ribozyme from 1 species
GUCUGCCUUUGCCAUUCUGGCCCUGCGACCCCGGCCUCUCUACGUUCCUGCGCGCGUACUCGCUCUCCUGCAACGGCCUUUUCGUCCGCUCGUGCUGUCGUUUCUGACGGACCCUGUGUACACUCGCC